GAUUUUCAACUGACAGUGUUGGGUGUCUGGGAGUCGUGACACAAUGUCGUCGUGCUGGCGAAUGCUGCUGGCGAAUGCUGCUACCGUCACACUCGCCGUUUCUUCUCAUUUCCCAGACGCUUCCGGCGAGCGCCAUUGUGUCUGCUUCUAUGACGUCGAGUCAAUCCGAGGUUUUUCCAACCCGACGAGUCAUUGGUGCGUGUCUAGUCACCAGAGAUACGAUCGGAAAACAUAAAAAAAAGGUAUAGAGUACAGUUUAAUAGGUAGGCGGAUAGACUGGAGAAGGUGGGGGUGUCACUUUUCCUCCGAGCUGUGACGUCUACGUUUGGAAUUACCCAGGGCCAACGCAAAUAGUUCUCCAACAUCUAAACAAGAGGAAAUUAAAUGUAAACGAUUCUUUUGAAAAGAUCAAUUUCGAAAGGAUUCGACGAUAAGGGGCCACGACAUUUUUCCUUUUUCUUUCUUAUCGUUGGUCAAUUGCGAUAGCGAUAAUGUAAUAACACGAAGUAUUUAUUUAUUUUUAAAAAUUUAGAUGGUCUCACUCCGAGUGUCGCGUCUAGAUUACAGACAUGCGCACAGCCGGAGUCGAUUUACCGACUCCGGCAUAACAAAAAGUAUUCGCAAUUCCGCUUUUCCUACUCACACGACCGCAGGAAUCCCCACGGCGCUGGCACGUCUAUUCCGUCCACAAUAAGUUCAGAUUUGAUCAAUUCGUUCAAGUGUUUUGUUUGAAUGGUGUGAAAAAAACAACUGUCGCUCGUAUUAUAUUGACAGCCGGAUUGCUGUGAGGGUUCAAAAUGGAACGGCGGAUGACAUUAAGUGGCCAUGUUCCGUCUUUAUCUCUCAUUCCGUUGGGGACUUGUCAUAGCGGCAAGUACUACAUCGACGGCGAAUGUCUGGUUCAUCUUGAAGAGAUCAAUAUCAAGUUGGAAAACGAGGAUCCCAUCCAUUACUCGCCCACUCCGGUGCGCCCUCGCAUUCCUGGACAUUCUCAACAAGGAUCUAAUCCCGAUUCUUAUCAACAGCCAGGAUCAGCCCAGCAUUUUGAAUUCGACAAUCAAGUUAUUGGCUGAACUUACUACACCCCUAGAAUGCCUGGGAAUGGUCGGCGAAGCGACUCGAUCCAAUCAGAGCAGCACGACAACGCAACAAGUUGUCAUCUACAAACUGACUCAGCUCCUCUACAACGCCAAGGAAUCCUUUCUGGAUGGUGGGGCCAUACCAGUCGUUCUCAGUCACGUUUGCCACACCCUAGAAAAGGAGCCGUUGUUGAGCGACGAUAACAUUUCUGUGAAUCAUUCCCUGUUACUCAUUCGCAAUAUCCUGCACGCUCCCGAACGACCUACUCAGAUGGCGGACAAACGACAGGAUCAGCAGGACCAACUUGUGCGGAUUUUAUUGGCCCAGGGACUAAAUCGUCUCCUCAUCAGCUUACUGGCCUGCUCCCAAAGGCGCCCAAAGGGAACAAUGGAUGGUGACAGUUGUGCAGCUCAUUUCUCUCUUGUACAAGGAUCGACCCGUUGAAAUUAUUUUACAAAUUUUAGAUGAAAACUGCACUCAUCUUGAGCCGGAAUUCUACUUUGACGAAGACCAGCCAAAUCAAUUUGAUAAAUCUCGACGAUCUAGUCAGCAAAGUACGUCCAGCGGCUUCCACUCGGAAGCUUCAAACGCGCCGAAAAUGACAUCACCAAAGGUUACGGAUUCAGUGAUGAGGAAAUCCAAUCGAAGAAAAAGUUCUUCAGGAAGUCAAUCCAGUAAAUGCGGAAGUUCGUCGUCUUCCGCAUCAUCUCAACUUGGCGGAACUAAAUGCUUAAAAAAGAGUUUUAAAGGUUCCAAGAAAUCAGAGAAAAUUUUGAAAAAGCUUAGCAAAUGCAACAAACUUGGACGUCGAGUGGAGAUGAAAGGCAACCAACAGAUGAAAGUACUUUGAAUCUCCUGAUAGGAUUUACCAUCAAUUUCAUCCGGCAAGGCUACAACACGCUGGUGGGCCAAUUGCAUCAACAGAUGCUGAAACAACAGGGCGACGCCCACCUCCAGCUGCUGGAUAAGUCGCACUUUCUCUGGCUCAUUUCUUAUUUCCUUCCCAUCGCCUCCCGGUUGGAAUUGAGCGUGGAACAUUUAAAAAACGUCUUAACUAUUGAUGUCCUGUGUUAUCUGACGUGGGAAGCUGUUUGUCAGACGGAAGAACUAGAAAUGUCUGCGUUUCAACAUUCAACAGUCGAUUUGAAACCGUGCGUGAGGCGCUUGCAUUUGUGCGUGAAAGCAAUUCGUGAAUAUUUGAAAACACUGGAGAGAUUUUCUCGUCCUUCGACGUCUAGAAAUGCAAAUGCACCGGGAAAUUAUUUGAUUACUCGACUGAGCGGUUACGUGCCAGCGAUUCGGGACCUCCGUCAACUCUUUUUGCUCCAACUCCGCCAAUUCGAUCCUGUCGUUCAAAGUCGUCGCUAUCUACUCGACGUCAUCGCAACCAAUCACAUCUUAUUGCUGGCGCUCGAACGGUCCACUGGGCAAUCGUCACGCGGGAGUUUUGAUAUUGGCCAACACUUGACUCAAUUCUGUUCGGAAAUGAUAGUCGAUCGAUACGGCACGGCCCUCGAAGAUUUCAAGACCAACGGCUCAUUCGUCAACGAUUGCAUCUUGACUCUUUUGCAUCACGUCGCGGGCGAUUUGGGCCGGGCCGACCUUUUGUGCCGGCCCGUCAUUCUUCGUCCAUUCAGCAAAAUUUUGGCAGUGGAAUUCAACUUGCGUGACGACUGGAAUGAUUUGAUUGAAUUGAUCAUUAACAAAUCAAUGCGGUAUUUUUCACAUCAUCGAUACACGGAGACAUUGCCUAGCAACCCAAAUAAUCCGCAAAAGAUAAAAGAUUCCGCUUCCCAUUCGAUGGAUAUCCUCCUACUAAAAUAUUCUGAUGAGAAAACAAUAGAAGAAUCGACUGAAACAAAUCAAUUGUCGUACGAAGUACCUGACACCAACAUUAAAUCACUUUUGAUUCAACUCAAGGAUUCUGGAUUUCAGAAGCAACUGGACUGGAUCCAGUCUUCAUUAUUAUCAGCCUGUGCUGUUCGAUUGGGGACCUACUCCGGCCAAGAAUUCCGCCACCCCAUAUAUACCCUAAGUUUUCAAAUGAAUUUGUCCUGCCCUUUGGUUCCCUGGACGGAGGUGGAAGCAUCCGCCCUGCGUUCAGAACUCUUCCUCAAUCUCCUAUUUCGUAUUGGUCUCAUUCCUCCUUCCCCUCAGGCUGUCCUGUACCCUCGUAUCCCGCGUGAAUGGUCCCCGGACACUUUGUACAGUGUCGCCCUCCUUUUCGGACCCAUCGACCAGAAGAGGAUCGAUUUCGAUUUGACUCGAGUCAAGAAAAUCGAGUUAGACCACCCCUAUUCAUCUGUCAAUGUCCAAAAUGUCCAAAGAUCAUCUUCUCACCCUUACAUAAUUCACGAUGGCGUAUCUCACCGUAAAGAUUCGUUCCUGGAAUCCAAGUUUCCUUCAGCAGAGAUCGACAUUUCUAGGCAAAAUAGCAUCGACUGUGUCUUCGACCACCAUAGUCCACGAGCAUUGGACAGUAUCAGCACCACCAGUUCACUAGAAGUCCACAAAAUGGACUCUAGCGACGACGAAGAAAUGGAGGACCUUCUGUUUGUGACAGAUUAGGCAGAUUGGACGGUAGUGACGUCACAAGAUAAUUCGAUUCCGCCUAAACGGACAGCGGUGCAUGUUUAAACUAUUCAAAUUAAAUGUGGAACAAUUAGUUGAUUCACCUCUCUGUAAAUAUUCUCCAACAAUAAUUUGAAAAGAUGACGUAAUCAUUACGUGAAUAUUUUGGUUUACGUGACCAGCAUCACGUUCACAUCAGUCCUUGGCCCAAGGACCCCAUCAAGGUCAAGCCCUCAAAAGACGUUGGUCACAUCAUCCCAACGGGUUUCCCUUAUAUACAGUUAGAACCUUCCCAUGAAAACUAAAACAUUCAAUCAUCUACUUGUGCUCGUGCUCUUCAGUCCACCCCUGCAAAGUUCUACCCAGUGUUUUUAAAAAAUUUCCCAGUCACAGUGUAUUAGUCAUUCUUACGUAAUAACUCUCAAUGAAGAAAGAACAAUGGCAACCACCCCAACUGUGUUUGAUCUAUUUUACCAAGCCGUCAUCAAAGGUUCAUUAGCCGAAUUACACGACAUCCGCCAUCAUUAUUCGUGGAAGGCCAUUUCGAUCGAGCUCAUCACGUCACUCACGCCGUCUGCCCGCUGGGCAAAUUCGCCCAGUCUAGUAAUAACUAGUGUCUGUUCUCCUGGGACAAACUGGACUACACCCGAACCAUACCGUCGUCGUUUGUUUUACCGUCGGCAGCCGUUUCGAUCGUCCGCGACAUCACCGGCCAGGUGCCCAUCAUCAAGUUGAUCGAGUACCUGGUGGACGUGGCCAACGACGAGCCGUUUUGGCUGGAAUUUGUUUUAAAUUCGUUCGUGACCAGCUCGGCCAUCGCUCGGCCGGAGAAGAUUGUCGCCGGCCCUGGAACUGAUGGGCGCCGCUUUUAUUUUCAAACAGAUUUUGCACACCCGUCGCAAAUUGCUGUGCAAGAAAAAUCCGACCGAAACCGGACCGUGGCGCGGGCUGCAGUGCUGGAAAUCGGCCAUGAUUUACCGCAGGAUCGAUGUUGGCGAUGGCGAUCCUCCGAUCCCGAAAAUUCCUUACGUCUUCUCUGAAAUUGCCUCAAGCGCUUUUGGCGACACGGUUGAAUUCAUGACGUUGGACGAGCUGGACCUGCUGGAACACCAAUCCACGUUGCACGGAUCCCACCAGGAUUGGCAUCUUUUAUGCGGACCACUGGUCGUCCAGGCUCUGCUGGUCAGCAAGCGCAUCUUUAGCCAAAACGGUGCUGAUGCUGCCGGCCAGCAAAUCGACGGGCCCAAUUCGUUCCACCUGGACAAUUUGCUUCACUACGGGCUCUACUGUGAUUUCCACCAGCAGUACAGCCAGGCCAUCAACGUUUCCCUGCUCAUCCUGGAACAUUCCAAAGCUUUCAAUCCCAAUUCGUCACCCAAGUGCGUCAAAUUAUUCGCCGAAACGUUCGAUCUCAUGUUGGUGUGUCUGAAACGACGCCAGCCGCCCAACAGCAUCUUGAAACAGGAGCUGUCGUCGGCCAAUCUCCUGGCGGCCGCCAAAUUCGGGAUCGAAAUCUUCACCAACAUGUUGCCAGUGCCACCGAUGACUCUGCCCGAGCGCCAGCUGUUUGACAUCAUCGAGCGAACUUAUUUCUUUAUUUCCAAUUGGCUGCCCAGGUUGAACCAGCAGGAAGUUGAACAGUUAACCGAAUAUCUUUCGCGCUACAUUCACCUGUACAAUGAAAAUAGCGGCGUCACCAGUCUCCUUCACGUGGCCAUUGAAAUGGUCGACUAUCACGGGGGAUUGUCCCAUUAUUCCACCAGACAUGCGGUGUCGAUUAUUCAAUUGUUGCUGGAAGCCGGAGCCGAUCCGAACGCAACCGACCGGUACGGCAAGACUCCGCUUCAUUUCUUGGCUGGAAAGUAUUCGCAAGAUGAGACUUCGGAAGCGUAUUUUAUUAUUUUCCAGGCACUGCCGGACGCUGGUGUGUAUCUGGACCCAACCGCACCCAAUGGGAAAACGGUUCUCUGCAUGCUGAAGGAUCGCAGGACCAAACAUCCUACUUUGAGCUAUCCCUUCGAUCCUUUCAUUGACUCGCUGAUUGGACCUGAAAGUCCCCUCUCCUCUAGUCCUUCUACAUUCAAAUCCAUUUGAAAUAUUUGCAUUGAUUUCCUUCGCAAGUCAUUGGUCGGUUGGAGAAACAAGCUUGUCCUGGAUUUACUUCACUUUGGAAUUAGUUUGAAAAUUUAUUUCUCCUUUGUAAGAUGUGGCAUCUUAUAUAACCUACAGAGGAAUAAAGUAUUUUGCUAAUGCCAAGUAAUUAGUCUGUAUUUCUACAUUUUUUAAAAUUCGCUAAUUGGCUAAACUAAUUCAACAUUUCUGUCUUCAAACGGACGUCAGUGUU